GUGAGGAAUAUUGGACAAUGGGCGCAAGCCUGAUCCAGCCAUGCCGCGUGCAGGAAGACGCAUCUAUGGUGUGUAAACUGCUUUUGUACGGGAAGAAACACUCCCUCGUGAGGGAGCUUGACGGUACCGUAAGAAUAAGGAUCGGCUAACUCCGUGCCAGCAGCCGCGGUAAUACGGAGGAUCCAAGCGUUAUCCGGAAUCAUUGGGUUUAAAGGGUCCGUAGGCGGUUUAAUAAGUCAGUGGUGAAAGCCCAUCGCUCAACGAUGGAACGGCCAUUGAUACUGUUAGACUUGAAUUACAAGGAAGUAACUAGAAUAUGUAGUGUAGCGGUGAAAUGCUUAGAUAUUACAUGGAAUACCAAUUGCGAAGGCAGGUUACUACUUGUGGAUUGACGCUGAUGGACGAAAGCGUGGGGAGCGAACAGGAUUAGAUACCCUUGUAGUCC
rnacentral:rRNA from 1 species